rnacentral:misc_RNA from 1 species
UGGCUCUCGCAUCGAUGAAGAACGCAGCGAAAUGCGAUACGUAAUGUGAAUUGCAGAAUUCAGUGAAUCAUCGAAUCUUUGAACGCACCUUGCACUCUUUGGUAUUCCGAAGAGUAUGUCUGUUUGAGUGUCAUGAAACUCUCAACCCCCUCAUUUUGUAAUGGAAUGAGUUGUGGGCUUGGUUUAUGGCUGUUGCCGGCUUAAGUGCCGACUCAGCUGAAAUACACGAGCAACCCAGUUUGAAUACUUGACGGCUUGACUCGGCGUAAUAACUAUUAUCGCUGAGGACGUCUACCUUUCAAAUCGUUAGUGGUGCUUCUAAUGCUUCAUCUAGAACUUUUAAGCUUUAGACCUCAAAUCAGUCAGGACUACCCGCUGA